CUCGUGGGCGCGGCGGUCACGCGCGGCGGAGCAGGAAGCGGCUCGGGGCGGGCGGAGCCGCCCGGUCCCGGUGCCCCCGGUCCCGGUGUCCCCCCCGCCGUGGGCCAUGCGCUGCGUCCUGAUCGCCAGCACCGCGGCCGAACUGCUCUUCUACUGGGCCGAUGCCGCCUUCCUCCGCCGGCUGCGGUCGUCCCAGGCCGGGCAGGGCCCGGCGCUGGAGGACAGCCUCAACACCCUCUUCGCCCCCCUCAUCAUUUCCUGCGCCGCGCUGCUGGAGAAGCUCUCCGACACCUACACCUGCUUCGCCACCGAGGGCGGGCGGCACCUCCACGUCCUGCACACGUUCGGGGACUGCCUGUACAUCGCAGUGAACGGCGACGGGACGCAGAGCGAGGACGACCUGCGCCGGACGCUGUUCGUGCUGCGGCGCUUGGUGGAGGCUCACUGUGGCCUCGUCACGCUCGACUCGCACCUCAUCCGCAAGGAGUUGCGGCCGGCUGACUCCGAGCAGCGGGAGCGUGUGUGGAGCCUGCUGCGGGGCCUGCUGGAGACCUACAGCCACCUGCGGGAGGAGGACCAGAGCUUUGCAGUGGAGGCCGUGGAGCGGCUGAUCCAUCCUCAGCUGUGCGAGCAGUGUAUCGAGUUCCUGGAGCGACAGGUGGUACAGUACAUCAACACCAGCCCUGAGCGUGGCGGAGAUGAAGUGGGCCAUGCUUUCCUGCUGGUACACACCAAGCUGCUGGCCUUCUACUCCAGCCGCAAUGCCAGCUCCAUCCGCCCAGCCGACCUGCUUGUCCUCAUCCUCCUGGUUCAGGACCUGUACCCCAGCCAGAGUGCUGAGGAGGAGCUUGGCCCACAGCCUACACCAGGGCGUGUUCUCCCUCAGGGACCCAAGAGAAGUGAGAGCAUCCCUGUGAGUGGGCCUGGCUCCCAUGGAGCUGCAGAGAAGGACUCAGAUGACCAAGACACAGAUGAUCUCUCUGUGCCUGAGGUCUACUACACACCUGAACCCUCUCCAGGCCAGCACAGUACAGGCAGCGAGAGCUGGUCAGAGGGUGCUGAGAUGCUGAGCAUCGGGGAGGUGGAUGCUGCAGACGUCCAGAUGGCAGAGGACUUGCUCCAAACCUUGGGACCUCUGGUCCCUGAAGCUUCCAACCCCAGAAGGAUCUUUCUGGAUGCCAGCCUGCGGGAAGGUUACUGCCCUUUGCUGCCACACACCAUGCACUGCCUCCCACUCUGGCCAGGCAUCUCCCUUGUGCUACUGACCAAGGGCCCUAUGACCCAGGUAGCUGUCACCUUGUACCAGCUGCUGGAUGGUUUCUUGGUGCUGGAGAAGAAGCUGGAAGAGGGACCAGAUGUGGGAGUCACACGCUCCUACCCAUUCCUCGCUGAGCUGCGGCAGCGCAUGGACAAAUUUGUGAAGAAGCUGAGUGGACAGGACAUCCAGUUGCAGAACACCUGGUUGGACUUCAAGAACAAGAUAUUUUCACGGAAUGAGCCUGGGAGCUCCCUAGAGCUGCUGCAGUCAGUGGCCAAUGUGAAGAGGCAGCUCUGCUCCGUGUACCGCCAGCUCUUCCUGACCUCUGCUGGCCACAGCCUGUCCCAAGGGCUGCGGGACCGUGCUCAGAAGCUGAUGAGGGAGAAGCUGCUGGACUGGCGGGACUUCCUGCUGGUGAAGAGCAGGCGCAAUAUCACCAUGGUGUCGUACCUGGAGGACUUUCCUGGUCUGGUGCACUUCAUCUAUGUGGACCGCACAGCUGGACAAAUGAUGGCUCCAUCACUCAGUGUGACAGAGAAGUCCAGCGCAGAGCUGGGCAAGGGUCCCCUGGCCACCUUCAUCAAGAAAAAGGUCUGGUCCCUGGUCACACUGGCCCGGCGAUACCUACAGAAGGGCUAUACAACACUGAUGCUGCAGGAUGGCGACUACUGCUGCUCCUACUUCCUCUGGUUUGAGAAUGAGAUGGGCUACAAGCUGGAGGUGAUGGAGGUACCAGUCCUGUCUGAUGAUUCUGCUCCCAUUGGGAUGCUUGCAGGAGACUACUAUAGGUGAGCAGUUUCCAGCCCUGUGGUUUGGCACCAAGACUCGAAGCUGUGAUGGCACACAGGUCCCUGUGAGCGAUGCCAGGAUGCCAGUGUUAUGGUGUCACUGGAGCUGCACCAGCCCAUCUCCCCAGGCUGAUGCCAUUUUGCUGUGUCCUCGCAAAGUACUUUAUAGAGGGAAGGUUGUUAGAACGAGGUUGCCUGUGUGCACUUAACCUGCCAAGCCCCUGUCU